UGUAUAUGUAUGUGUGCACGAAGGUGCUUGUAUGUGAGUGUGUAUGUAUGUGUGCACGAAGGUGGUUGUAUGUGAGUGUGUAUGUAUGUGUGCAUGAAGGUGGUUGUAUGUGAGUGUGUAUGUAUGUGUGCACGAAGGUGGUUGUAUAUGUAUGUGUGCACAAAGGUGGUUGUAUGUGAGUGUGUAUGUAUGUGUACAUGAAGGUGGUUGUAUAUGUAUGUGUGCACAAAGGUGGUUGUAUGUGAGUGUGUAUGUAUGUGUACAUGAAGGUGGUUGUAUGUGAGUGUGUAUGUAUGUGUGCACGAAGGUGGUUGUAUAUGUAUGUGUGCACAAAGGUGGUUGUAUGUGAGUGUGUAUGUAUGUGUACAUGAAGGUGGUUGUAUAUGUAUGUGUGCACAAAGGUGGUUGUAUGCAAAUGUAUUACUUAUAUCACAGAUGGUCGUAGUAAUUUUAUUAUUAAAAAGUUUUAAAAACAUUGAAAUUAUGAUUGUACAUGUAUGUUGUAUGCAAUAUCUUUAAUUCUAGAGUAUGAUUUAUUUGGUAUUAUUUUUACAGUAAAUCUUUUCAUUUUACAUUGUUAUUUUCUGAUAUUUUUUUUCAUUCAUGAUAUGGUAAACAUUUAUAUGCUUGGCACAGAGGGAGGUUUAUUUUGAAGAAAUGUAUUUACAUAUAAAGGAAUUUUGUUUCGAAGCAUAUUUAAUGAUUUGAUGUUAUUUUAUAUUUGUAUUAUUGAUGUGUAACAUCGUUAUGUACUUUCAUUCCAUUAGAGCCGGUCUCUUUAAACUUUUUAUUUAUUCCCUUAUUUGUUUAUAUGUGAUUAUUAUCUCUUUUAUUCAAUGAGUUUGAUUAUGAAUUUCCAAGAAAAUGUGCACUAUUUAAAACUAAGAGGCAUUAUUAUCUUUAAAAAGGAGAUGAUGCAUCUUUGAGUAUAGCUUGCAAUUAAUUUUUUUUCACUGUCAAACACUUCUGUCUUGAAUGCAAUAAUCUUGCACAGUUUUGUGAUAGAUUUUAUCAAGUUUAUUCAGUUGCAUAUAUUUUUGCCUCAGACUUAUGCCAUCCUUUAGCUGGGUCAAUGUCAUAGAGAGACAUUUAUCAGACUGACAAUUUUGCUUCCACUCUAUAAAUCUUAUAAAGGAUCUUCUUUUGAAGUGGGCUGGAAUGUUCACUUCAGCAAAGCAGAAUCCAUGCAGCUGCAUAUCAAGGUCAAGGUUGCACUUGAAGCCCAAAUGUCCAAAACUUGGUAUCUUCUUACAUAUUUUGUAACAUGGCAUGAUUUCCUUCUAUCUUAACUCAAGUGGUCACAUCAGCAAGGUGAUAUAUAGAACCUGUGCUGCCACACUGUUGCUUCAAAGGUCAAGGUUACCAUUUAAUGUCAAAAAUGAGACUAUUUGUUUUGGCUAUAUAAAUCCUAUACCCCAUAGAGAAACUAAGCUCAAAUGUUCACCUCAACUGGGAGAUGUCCAGAGCUUAUGUCCCUACUGUGACUGUGCUGUCUCAUGUUCAAGGUCACCUUGAAGGUCAAAUGUCAAGACAAUGUCAUGUCUGCUCUGUUAAUCCUUUACCCUUUGAAGACUUUUCUUCAAUUUGGUUAAAUGCUUACAUCAACAUGGUUAGAUGCAUAACUCAUGCAGCAGCUGUGCUACUUCAAGGUCACACUUGAAGGUCAGAUAUCAGACAUUUUUAUACUCCUUGAAUCAUGCCCAACUGUCCAUCUUAAAAAAAAUACUGAGUAACUGACCUACAUAAACUCCUAUGUCAUAUGGAUGGUAGGGCAUUUGUCACAUUCCUGACUUCAAUAUCAACAUUAUCAUUCACAUGUUUAUUAUUUAAAAGACUUUAUUUUAUUUGAUGUAUUUCAUAUAAAUAUUCUUUCCCUUCAUUGUGGAAAGUUAUGAUUUGUGUUCUUUGUAUGAAAGUGGGAAAUAUAUUUGUACUUUAAUUGUCAUUUUUAAGUGUUCAGAGAAUAAAAUGAGAUAUAUGAUAAUUCUUGUGUUAAUUAUUAUUUGUUUAAAGCAAUAUUCCUGCCAUUUGAGCUAGUCUCAGCUCUGGCACAAA